AGUCAACGUUCAUUCCUUCUUCCGGUCCAUCCUGCUACGCUCGCAUCUGCACGAUACACGUGGUUGCUCCCAAUUCAUAAGCAAAGCAGUAUCUUGAAAUGAAGGUUUGCUAAAUUCCUGAGAUUUAUGAUGGCAACAACUCUAGGGCCAUAAAGUUUCCCAGGGAAUUAUGAGAGGUGAUAUAUACCAUUAUGGAAUUCUACGGAGGAUGGAAAAUGCUAUUCUCCGAGUACUACCCGUUCCGAAUUACAGCGAUUUCCGGCAACUCUGCUCAGCAUCCGCAGCGGUGGACCAGAAUUUCGUGGAAAUUAUGACAAUUAGCGCAAUUAAAAUUGGUUCACAACUAAUUUGGAUUUGCGUACCUUUUGCAUAGCG